AUUUGCACCACACCUUGGUUAAUAAUAGGUGCAAGUAGGACUCUUCUAAGUUCAAAAAGGCUUUAUAAAUAGCAACACUCUUAGUAUUGGGAUCACAUAUUAUUUUAACCAAAUUCACAUAAACAGAGGAUUAUAAUGGAGAAGAAAAAAAUUGUUGGAGUGUGCUUCUUCCUCGUCGUUUUCCUUGCUACUCCUACUCAAGAAACAAAUGUGAAGAAUAAUAAGGAGUGUGUGAAGCAGAGUAAAUGGGUCAAUAUUCGUUCAUGUAUUCCUUUACGUGGCGACGACAAGGAGUGUUCUUCUACUUGCGAGUAUGAAUAUGAAGCAAUCACUGGCUACUGCGAAGAUUUCAAGUGCCUAUGUAAAUUAUGUUGAACUUAUCGUUACUAUAUAUGGAAAAUAUAUAUACAUAUCUAAAUGCAAAGUAGAUGUAAUUUCGUUCACCUAGCUAUAGUUAGUUCAUGAAUUAAUAAUGAUGUUUCCAUUGUUUGAGACUAAAAUAAAUUAGUAUGGAUUAUAAUUUUUAGUCCCACAAAAAUUAUAAUACAUGCAAUUUUAGUCUCUAUUGUUAAGACAACAUAUAUUUUUUAUAAAUUUUUUCAUGUAUGUUUAUGACAUUAUAAAAAGUUCAUUAAAAAAAAGCUCAAAAUUUUAUUUCUACGUA